CUACGGGCCGCUGCAGUUAGGAAUCUUUUGCAAUGCGCGCAAGCGUGACAAAGCGAACCAGAGUGUUUUCCAAUUUGGAAAGCUUUUGCCAAAUGCAAAAAGUUUGGCGAAUAAGGACUGGGUAAGACGAGUGCCAGCCGCCGCGGUAAUACUCGCGGUCCAAGUCGCAGCCAUCUUUAUUGGGUCUAAAACAUCCGUAGCUUGUUUAAUAAGUUCUCUGUGAAAUCUUAUCUCUUAAGGAUAAGGCGCGCAGGGAAUACUAUCAAACUAGAGACUGGAAGACGUAAGAAGUAUGAUCAAAGUAGUGGUAAAAUACUUUAAUCUUAGUCAGACUAACAACAGCGAAGGCAUCUUACGAGGACAGUUCUGACAGUAAAGGAUGAAGGCUAGGGGCGCAAAACGGAUUAGAUACCCGCGUAGUC
rnacentral:rRNA from 1 species